rnacentral:rRNA from 1 species
GUCGUACAGGUCUCCGUAGGUGAACCUGCGGAGGGAUCAUUACACAAAUAUGAAGGCGGGNUGGNACCUCUCGGGGUUACAGCCUUGCUGAAUUAUUCACCCUUGUCUUUUGCGUACUUCUUGUUUCCUUGGUGGGUUCGCCCACCACUAGGACAAACAUAAACCUUUUGUAAUUGCAAUCAGCGUCAGUAACAAAUUAAUAAUUACAACUUUCAACAACGGAUCUCUUGGUUCUGGCAUCGAUGAAGAACGCAGCGAAAUGCGAUAAGUAGUGUGAAUUGCAGAAUUCAGUGAAUCAUCGAAUCUUUGAACGCACAUUGCGCCCUUUGGUAUUCCAAAGGGCAUGCCUGUUCGAGCGUCAUUUGUACCCUCAAGCUUUGCUUGGCGUUGGGCGUCUUGUCUCUAGCUUUGCUGGAGACUCGCCUUAAAGUAAUUGGCAGCCGGCCUACUGGUUUCGGAGCGCAGCACAAGUCGCACUCUCUAUCAGCAAAGGUCUAGCAUCCAUUAAGCCUUUUUUUCAACUUUUGACCUCGGAUCAGGUAGGGAUACCCGCUGAACUUAAGCAUAUC